AUUGAACGCUGGCGGCAUGCCUUACACAUGCAAGUCGAACGGAUUCAAGAGGCUUGCUUCUUGAGUUAGUGGCGAACGGGUGAGUAAAGCAUCGGAACGUACCCAGUUGUGGGGGAUAACGUAGCGAAAGUUACGCUAAUACCGCAUACGCACUGAGGUGGAAAGCGGGGGACCGAAAGGCCUCGCGCAAUUGGAGCGGCCGAUGUCGGAUUAGCUAGUUGGUGAGGUAAAGGCUCACCAAGGCGACGAUCCGUAGCUGGUCUGAGAGGACGACCAGCCACGCUUGAACUGAGACACGGUCCAGACUCCUACGGGAGGCAGCAGUGGGGAAUUUUGGACAAUGGGCGAAAGCCUGAUCCAGCCAUGCCGCGUGAGUGAAGAAGGCCUUCGGGUUGUAAAGCUCUUUCAGACGGAAAGAAAUCUUUCGGGUGAAUAUCCCGGAAGGAUGACGGUACCGUAAGAAGAAGCACCGGCUAACUACGUGCCAGCCGCCGCCGUAA
rnacentral:rRNA from 1 species